rnacentral:lncRNA from 1 species
GAAACCUUGGAGAAAACCUGGGCUCUCUCCUCCUCCCCCCUCACUUCCCCUAAAGCCUGGGGCCGAUCAGCCCCCACACUUGUUCAGGAUCCAGGCUGGGGGCCUGGGACCAGCCUUCAAGGACCCCCUCCACCUCAGCCUGACCUCAGGCAUUUCGGCAGUGAGGUCUCUCCUUUGAUCUCAGGAUCAGGAUCCAGUUUGGGCAGAUCUGGCCCCACUAAAGGCACCAGGCUCCCACCUGAUCUCAGAACCUGUGCCCUGAUGCUGCCCCCCCCCACGCCCCCACAUGUUCUCUCUGAAAUACAAAUGCACUCCUGCGACUCUGCUCAUAAAAACCACUGCGGGUUCCUUCUGCGUCUUUGCUCAAGUCUAAAGUCCGUGGGGAGCAUGAAUCCCCUCCAGGUCUCUUCCCAGACUCCCCCUCCUUCCUCCUGUCACCUCACCCCUCCUGCCAGACAGGGCGACAAGGCAGGCUUGGCACUGGCCACUUAGGGCCUAGAACACCCUUCCGCCUCUUUGUUGAGCGAAAUCUUUUCAUCCUUUUCAACAUUCAGCUCUAAGCCACAUCCUCUGUGCAGCCUUUCAAAGGGGGCCCCAGGCAGCCCCUCCCAGCUUGCACCUCAGGGCCCUGCGCCCAGAACCUGGGUGGGUGCUUUUCUGCAUCAGAGGGGCUGACACAACUGUGCCCACGCCCAGAGUGCACCCUGGGAGACCGAGGAUUGAACAAAGCCCUGGAGAGCCCCUGCAUCCUCCCUUGUUGCCCUGGUCCACGCCAUGCAGGGGCUGGCAAGGCCCUUCCAAGGCGAGGAACCACUGGCUCUCUCCGUGACUGCCUGGCAGCUGGCCCGAUGCCCAGGGCAGCCAGCGUUGACCAAAUGUGUGAUGAUGCCACCAGGCCGGAGGGUCUGAGGAUUCCACGGAUCCGAAUCUCACAUGUCAAUUCCUCCCGAUAACCAGCCAACCACCACUCCAGCAAGAGCCCUGGGCUUAAAUCUGGGCUUUCUCACUGGCACGGUUUGCUUCUGGGAGCCUCUACUUCCUCAUCUGUAAAAAUGGGGAUGGUUGUAAGUGCUCCAGAGCUCGCUGUAACACCGAUCCAAGCGAAUGGAAGGGAAUUAACCAGCCCGGGGCCUGGCCAAGGAGACUGUUUUGAACAAAGAUAAGUGUGGUUCAUCACUGUAAACAGGAACUGGGAGGCAAGGUCACGUCCUAAAAUAACUUUUGAAAGUUAGAGUUUCAUUGGGAAUUUUGACAGUUAAGCAGUUCCUGUCAUGGCGCAGCAGAAACAAAUCUGACUAGCAUCCAUGAAGAUGCAGGUUCGAUCCCUGGCCUCACUCCGCGGGUUAAGGAUCUGACAUUGCUGUGAACUGUGGUGUAGGUCGCAGAGGCAGCUCAGAUCUGGUGCUGCUGUGGCUGUGGUGUAGGCUGGCAGCUGUAGCUCCGAUUCAGCCCUUAGCCUGGGAAGCUCCAUAGGCCAUGGGUGUGGCCCUAAAAAACAAAAAACAAAACAAAACAAAAAGUUAAGAAUGUCUCUGGUAUAGGAGUUCCCUCGUGGCUCAGCAGAUUAAGGAUCCCAGUUGUCAACCUCUGUGGCCUGGGGUUCGAUCCAGGAAUUUCUGUAUGCCCUGGGUGUGGCCCAAAAGAGACCCUCCUCCCCCAACAAAGAAAAAGAUCUUUGGGAGUUCCCGUCGUGGCUCCGCGGAAACAAAUCUGACUCACGUCCAUGAGGACGCAGGUUCGAUCCCUGGCCCUGCUCAGUGGGUGAAGGAUCUGGCGUUGCCAUGAGCUGUGGUGUAGGUGGAAGACAAGGCUCGGAUCUGGCGUUGUGGUGUGGUGUAGGCUGGCAGCUGCAGCUCUGAUUCAACCCCUAGCCUAGGAACCUCCAUAGGCCACAGGUACACUCCUAAAAAACAAACAAACAAACAAAAAAAACCCAAAAAACAAACGAAAAAACCACGGGGCGGGAAGGAGACUAUAAAGCUACUUUUAUAAAAACCUCCCUUGUGGUUUUGAAAAUCUGCAAGGUUUGGGAACCAUUAGCACAUACACAACUAGGAAAGCGCAGGGCUCCGAAUUCUCAAUUUCUCAGCUUUAUAGUCUUUGUACAUUUUAAAAGAAAAUGAGUUUCUUUGCCUUUUUGUAAACAAGAUUUGAUUUCUCCAGGCUUGUUUUAUUCUCACCAUGGUCUGUGCAUCCUGCUGGUGGAGAAAAAACCAGCUCCAGGUAAUCAACAGGAGAAAGAGAGGGGCAAACCUUAUAGGCUGCCCCAGCUUUUCGGCCUCUGUGAGCCACCUCUCCCCUCACCCCCUGUCCUGGUCCCACUGGGGCAAUUUAAAUGCUAAUAUAGUUAAGUCCAACAGUCUUUUUUUUUUUUUUAGCAGAUUAGAAUUGUUUUUAUGAAAAUCUGAUUUCUCUUUUUUUCCAUUCUGUAUUUGUCUUUUUUUUUUUUUCCCCCUUUCUUUUUUGGGAGACUUAGAGAGGCACAUGUUUCAAUUCUUUGACCUUAAAAAAAGCAAAAAAAAAAAUCCCUCCCUAGUACCUUCUCAGCACUAUUUGCAAGAAGAGAGGAAGCCUCUCACUCCCUAAACCUGAGGUCUGCAGUUCGAAUAUAUGCUGAGUCACCUGGUCUUUGCUGGGUCAAACAUUUUGCACCCUGGAAACGUCCUGCAGAAAAUCACCCUGUGAGCUGGUAUGUCGCUGAUUUAAAUACGAAUAAACAGACUGGUAGGGGAUAAUGCCUAGCUCCAGAGUCACUUAUUAUUACCUUUUCAACUUGUUUUCAGGGAUUUCUGCUAGUCCCACAAGUCCUCUUUCUGCUUGGUAAUGUGUUGGGGACAUUCUUUAAAUCUUCCUUCCCGUGCUUAGAAAGUGAAAAUACAUAGGAAUGGUAAAGCGGCUGUCUUGCAUUAUUUAGAAAAAGGGGGAAGCGAAGUCUUUGCCGUCCUUCUGAAGCUUGGCAUGCUCGAGAGCCUCGACAUUAAUUUUCUUCUGAAGCAUUAAUAAUAAAAAAAAAGAAAUACGGUAAUAAAACAGGGAUUGAGAGUUGAUGUCUAACUUGAGGGGAACGUUCAGGAAGUCUGCUUUCCUAUUUUGAUCACGUAGUUAUUGAACAGACAGUGAGAUGUUGCUACAACUGUAUUUAAUAGAGGAAGUGGCCGGAAGCUAGAGUUUCCUUAGAAUCAGAGAGUUGGAAUACUUUGUAUUUCUUUUUUUCUUUCUUUCUUUUUUUUUUUUUGCCUUUUCUAGGGCUGCUCCUGUGGCAUGUGGAGGUUCCCAGGCGAGGGGUCCAAUCGAGCUGUAGCCGCCGGCCUACACCACAGCCACAGCAACACAGGAUCGGCCGCGUCUGUGACUUAACCACGCUAUGGCAACCCAGUCCUUAACCCACUGAGCAGGCCAGGGAUCGAACCGCACUCAUGGUCUAGCGAUUAGUUGACCACUGAGUCAUGAGGAGCUCCUAUCUUUUGUUCAAUCUCUUUUUUUGUAAUAGAAAGGUUCCAGGAGCAAGUAUUGUAUAAAAAAGAAAUGAAAAUCAGACAUUUCUGCCAUGUUAACUCUAGUCAUGUCACAGUGACAUUAACUCUAGAGCCAUGAGUAUCUCCUCUCGGACUCCUUCUGGGGGACUCUUUGGGGCUGACCAGCAUCCUGGCACCAGCACCUGCGCAAUGACACUGGCCCCUGCCCUCAGCGCUCGUAUCCUGUGGGCCGGUCACUGGGCAGGGGCUUCCACCAUCUCCCGGGUGCAUCCUCACGAUCACCGACACAUGAGACACUUGUGUUCCUAAACCCUUCCAGCCCCGUGGAUGGAGCCUCAGAGGCUAACUGGAUCCCACUGCGCUCCUGGGUCGCAGCUUGAACCCAGGCAGCCCUGGAGUCACCCCUGCGGAGAGCGCCUCUCAGCUCAUGAAAGUGAUGACGACUCACUGGCCAGGGAUGUCAAAUAUGGGAAGGACGUCAUCCGUGGCUCGCAGUUCUUGCUUCCUCCCCGUGAGCCAUCAGGGCAGAAAGGACAGAAAAGCUGCAGAUGCCACCCAGGCAGCACGGGGGCUCCGAAAAAAGCCCUAACUUGGUGCACUUUCUGCUCGGAGCCAUUUCUGAAAUGAAUGCAGAGGAAAAUGUGAACUAUUCUGAAAAUUUGUUGCGUUUCUUUUUGAUUGAUGGCCAUAAUACAAUGAUU